GCGGCGACACCUAUCAACUGGGUAUAAUAAGAUGCGUUCAUCUCUUUCCUAGGAUGCUCCAAUGGUGGUGAGGACACAUUAACGCCUGCAAUUUCACAUAAGUGAGUGAUCAAAGAGGGGUGCCCUAAGGGUGACUUGUUAUUUGAAGAAUGGGCACAGUUCUUGAUCUCAUCAGUUAUCACUUGCCCGACAUUGAUAUUUAGUCCCCUUAGAACACAAUAGAGGAAGAUGGCCCUGUUGGUAGUAAUAUCAGAGACAUGUGAGUAGGGCUGGAUAUUAGCAUGAGUGAAGAUCAUCCAGUAUUUGGCCAAGGUUUUCAAAUAGCAUUGUCUGAUUUGAAUAGGCACCUCUUGCAUAUUCCUCUAAAAGUGUCCCCCAAGGACACAAAGCACCCGCUCUACA
rnacentral:lncRNA from 1 species